rnacentral:rRNA from 1 species
GGUUAAGCGACUAAGCGUACACGGUGGAUGCCCUGGCAGUCAGAGGCGAUGAAGGACGUGCUAAUCUGCGAUAAGCGUCGGUAAGGUGAUAUGAACCGUUAUAACCGGCGAUUUCCGAAUGGGGAAACCCAGUGUGUUUCGACACACUAUCAUUAACUGAAUCCAUAGGUUAAUGAGGCGAACCGGGGGAACUGAAACAUCUAAGUACCCCGAGGAAAAGAAAUCAACCGAGAUUCCCCCAGUAGCGGCGAGCGAACGGGGAGCAGCCCAGAGCCUGAAUCAGUGUGUGUGUUAGUGGAAGCGUCUGGAAAGGCGCGCGAUACAGGGUGACAGCCCCGUACACAAAAAUGCACAUGCUGUGAGCUCGAUGAGUAGGGCGGGACACGUGGUAUCCUGUCUGAAUAUGGGGGGACCAUCCUCCAAGGCUAAAUACUCCUGACUGACCGAUAGUGAACCAGUACCGUGAGGGAAAGGCGAAAAGAACCCCGGCGAGGGGAGUGAAAAAGAACCUGAAACCGUGUACGUACAAGCAGUGGGAGCCUCUUUUAUGGGGUGACUGCGUACCUUUUGUAUAAUGGGUCAGCGACUUAUAUUCUGUAGCAAGGUUAACCGAAUAGGGGAGCCGAAGGGAAACCGAGUCUUAACUGGGCGUUAAGUUGCAGGGUAUAGACCCGAAACCCGGUGAUCUAGCCAUGGGCAGGUUGAAGGUUGGGUAACACUAACUGGAGGACCGAACCGACUAAUGUUGAAAAAUUAGCGGAUGACUUGUGGCUGGGGGUGAAAGGCCAAUCAAACCGGGAGAUAGCUGGUUCUCCCCGAAAGCUAUUUAGGUAGCGCCUCGUGAAUUCAUCUCCGGGGGUAGAGCACUGUUUCGGCAAGGGGGUCAUCCCGACUUACCAACCCGAUGCAAACUGCGAAUACCGGAGAAUGUUAUCACGGGAGACACACGGCGGGUGCUAACGUCCGUCGUGAAGAGGGAAACAACCCAGACCGCCAGCUAAGGUCCCAAAGUCAUGGUUAAGUGGGAAACGAUGUGGGAAGGCCCAGACAGCCAGGAUGUUGGCUUAGAAGCAGCCAUCAUUUAAAGAAAGCGUAAUAGCUCACUGGUCGAGUCGGCCUGCGCGGAAGAUGUAACGGGGCUAAACCAUGCACCGAAGCUGCGGCAGCGACACUGUGUGUUGUUGGGUAGGGGAGCGUUCUGUAAGCCUGUGAAGGUGUGCUGUGAGGCAUGCUGGAGGUAUCAGAAGUGCGAAUGCUGACAUAAGUAACGAUAAAGCGGGUGAAAAGCCCGCUCGCCGGAAGACCAAGGGUUCCUGUCCAACGUUAAUCGGGGCAGGGUGAGUCGACCCCUAAGGCGAGGCCGAAAGGCGUAGUCGAUGGGAAACAGGUUAAUAUUCCUGUACUUGGUGUUACUGCGAAGGGGGGACGGAGAAGGCUAUGUUGGCCGGGCGACGGUUGUCCCGGUUUAAGCGUGUAGGCUGGUUUUCCAGGCAAAUCCGGAAAAUCAAGGCUGAGGCGUGAUGACGAGGCACUACGGUGCUGAAGCAACAAAUGCCCUGCUUCCAGGAAAAGCCUCUAAGCAUCAGGUAACAUCAAAUCGUACCCCAAACCGACACAGGUGGUCAGGUAGAGAAUACCAAGGCGCUUGAGAGAACUCGGGUGAAGGAACUAGGCAAAAUGGUGCCGUAACUUCGGGAGAAGGCACGCUGAUAUGUAGGUGAAGUCCCUCGCGGAUGGAGCUGAAAUCAGUCGAAGAUACCAGCUGGCUGCAACUGUUUAUUAAAAACACAGCACUGUGCAAACACGAAAGUGGACGUAUACGGUGUGACGCCUGCCCGGUGCCGGAAGGUUAAUUGAUGGGGUCAGCGCAAGCGAAGCUCUUGAUCGAAGCCCCGGUAAACGGCGGCCGUAACUAUAACGGUCCUAAGGUAGCGAAAUUCCUUGUCGGGUAAGUUCCGACCUGCACGAAUGGCGUAAUGAUGGCCAGGCUGUCUCCACCCGAGACUCAGUGAAAUUGAACUCGCUGUGAAGAUGCAGUGUACCCGCGGCAAGACGGAAAGACCCCGUGAACCUUUACUAUAGCUUGACACUGAACAUUGAGCCUUGAUGUGUAGGAUAGGUGGGAGGCUUUGAAGUGUGGACGCCAGUCUGCAUGGAGCCGACCUUGAAAUACCACCCUUUAAUGUUUGAUGUUCUAACGUUGACCCGUGAUCCGGGUUGCGGACAGUGUCUGGUGGGUAGUUUGACUGGGGCGGUCUCCUCCUAAAGAGUAACGGAGGAGCACGAAGGUUGGCUAAUCCUGGUCGGACAUCAGGAGGUUAGUGCAAUGGCAUAAGCCAGCUUGACUGCGAGCGUGACGGCGCGAGCAGGUGCGAAAGCAGGUCAUAGUGAUCCGGUGGUUCUGAAUGGAAGGGCCAUCGCUCAACGGAUAAAAGGUACUCCGGGGAUAACAGGCUGAUACCGCCCAAGAGUUCAUAUCGACGGCGGUGUUUGGCACCUCGAUGUCGGCUCAUCACAUCCUGGGGCUGAAGUAGGUCCCAAGGGUAUGGCUGUUCGCCAUUUAAAGUGGUACGCGAGCUGGGUUUAGAACGUCGUGAGACAGUUCGGUCCCUAUCUGCCGUGGGCGCUGGAGAACUGAGGGGGGCUGCUCCUAGUACGAGAGGACCGGAGUGGACGCAUCACUGGUGUUCGGGUUGUCAUGCCAAUGGCACUGCCCGGUAGCUAAAUGCGGAAGAGAUAAGUGCUGAAAGCAUCUAAGCACGAAACUUGCCCCGAGAUGAGUUCUCCCUGACUCCUUGAGAGUCCUGAAGGAACGUUGAAGACGACGACGUUGAUAGGCCGGGUGUGUAAGCGCAGCGAUGCGUUGAGCUAACCGGUACUAAUGAACCGUGAGGCUUAACCUU